rnacentral:misc_RNA from 1 species
GAUGAAGAACCCAGCGAAAUGCGAUAAGUAAUGUGAAUUGCAGAAUUCAGUGAAUCAUCGAAUCUUUGAACGCACCUUGCGCCCUUUGGCCAUUCCGAAGGGCAUGCCUGUUUGAGUAUCAUGAACACCUCAACUCUUUAUGGUUUUCCAUGAUGAGCUUGGACUCUGGGGGUUUUGCUGGCUCACAGUCGGCUCCUCUAAAAUAAAUCAGCUUACCAGUGUUUGGUGGGUAUCAUGGGUGUGAUAACUAUCUACGCUUGUGGUUUUUCCACCAGGUAACCUUCAGCAGUGGAGGUUCGCUGGAGCUCAUAGAUGUCUCUCCUCAGUGAGGACAGCCCUUUGAAUGUUUGAUCUCAAAUCAGGUAGGACUACCCGCUGAACUUAAGCAUAUCAAUAAGCGGAGGA